rnacentral:piRNA from 1 species
UCUUAAGCAUUACUUACACUCUGGAUUCC